CUCAUAACUCGAUAAUCCACGCAUACCCAACCUUCUAUAGAUAUUACAGCAUGUAUACUGCCGUUGCAAGUACACCCCUAAAAGAAAAGUGUGCCAUCAUGACUAAAUAGUUAGCUCAUGUACAUCAGGUCAAAGUGCAGCCAAUAAGAAGGUGACGAUGGGUUACAACCCCAAAAUAGACUAUCAACUAAGAAAUAAAAAAUCUUACGAAAGUGGACUUGGCCGUAAUCAAUUUAUAAGUUAAAAAAAUGAAUAAAAAUCUAAGACAUGCACACAUCGCCCGUCACUCUAUCCUAAAGGAUAGAUAAGUCGUAACAAAGUAGGUGUAAUGGAAAUUGCACCUGUCGAAGUAUAGCAUAUACAAUGCUUUUUACUUACACUAAAAAUAAAGUUAAAUAACUUACUUCGCCCAAGUAAAAAAUCUUCUUAAUUACAAAUAAUAAAAACAAUUUAAUAAACCAAUAACAAAAAUAAAGUACAGAAAUGGAAAUAAAUAUAAAUAAAAGUAAUUUUUAAAAAAUGUACCUCAUGCAUUAUGGUUUUACAAGAAAAUAAUUAAAAAUACAAGUCCCGAAUUCUUAAUGAGAUGUUAAACUGCUGUUAUGAACCAACUAAUAACUGUAGAAAAAGUUUUAAAAGACAGUUUAACAGAGGCUACAUACCAUCCGCAUAAGAAUAUAGCUGGUUCUUAACAAAAAUUAUACAUUAAAACAUAUAACUAUGUUAUAGUGUAACCUUAUUGAGGAUAAGCCCAAUAACUAAAGUAAUAAAUAAAAUAGUCUAUUAUAUCCAAUAGGCCUAAAAUCAGCCAAUUAAAAUACUUUAUCGUAACUUAAGUAGACAUAACAAAUAAUAUUAAAUACUAAAUAAAGUUAAGACUAUGAAUAAACUUAAUACUUCAAAUGUAUUAUGUAAAAAUAAGUAUUAUAAAAUAAUAACUAUAAAAAUCUAGUAAUUAAAAAAUUGAAAACAAUAAUAACUAAUUAAGGAACUCGGCAAAACAUUAUUUCGACUGUUUAACAAAAACAUUGUCUUAUGAAUAUCAUAUAAGAUAGUACCUGCCCA
rnacentral:rRNA from 1 species